rnacentral:lncRNA from 1 species
GUUAAGGAGGCGCUGUCCUGGCGUCGGAUGGGGACGGGGAACGCGGCGAGGGCGCUGCGACCUCUGCCCACCUGGCCCGGCCGCAGUCUCGGAGUUCCUGUUCCUCACAGGAGCUAAUUAUUUAUGACAGCUGCAUGGUUCCCCUCCCCCAGUUACUCAGUGCUUGGCACUCGGCACCCCUUACUCAGCACUCAGUACCGCACUCGGCCUCAGGGGACCUGGGCAGAGGGAAGCAGGGAGUCUCCCGCGGAAACUCUUGCUCUGCCAAAAGUUUCACUCUUGUCGCCCAGGCUGGAGUGCAAUGGCGAUCUCUGCUCACAACAACCUCUGCCUCUUGGGUUCAAG